rnacentral:lncRNA from 1 species
UGGAUAUCAUAAGUGUGAGCUAGUUGUGCAGUUGAGAGCUGCCUCCCUCAUGAAACACACAACAUAACACUCACUCAUUUCAUCGAUCUAACUUCCUCACUUUCUCUUUAGAUUCAUUCAUGGCUUCUUCCUUACCUUCCACUUCACCUUCUGCCGCUACUGUUAAACCUCUAACUAUACCUUCCACCACCAAAUCCCCACGCUUUUCUCAUUCCUCCCUCUCUUUCCCUCUUCUCUCUCCUAAUUCCAACAACACCCUCC